GACGAACGCUGGCGGCGUGCUUAACACAUGCAAGUCGAACGGUGAAGGAGAGCUUGCUCUCCGGAUCAGUGGCGAACGGGUGAGUAACACGUGGGCAACCUGCCCCAGACUUCGGGAUAACGCUUCGAAAGAGGUGCUAAUACCGGAUACGAACUCCUUGGGCAUCCUUGGAGUUGGAAAGUUUUUCGGUCUGGGAUGGGCCCGCGGCCUAUCAGCUUGUUGGUGAGGUAACGGCUCACCAAGGCGACGACGGGUAGCCGGCCUGAGAGGGCGACCGGCCACACUGGGACGGAGACACGGCCCAGACUCCUACGGGAGGCAGCAGUGGGGAAGAUUGCGCAAUGGGCGAAAGCCUGACGCAGCAACGCCGCGUGAGGGAUGACGGCCUUCGGGUUGUAAACCUCUUUCAGCAGGGAAGAAGCGAAAGUGACGGUACCUGCAGAAGAAGCACCGGCUAACUACGUGCCAGCAGCCGCCGUAAAAC
rnacentral:rRNA from 1 species